rnacentral:rRNA from 1 species
AGAUCGAACUAUAGAGUUUGAUCCUGGCUCAGAUUGAACGCUGGCGGCAUGCCUUACACAUGCAAGUCGAACGGCAGCACGGGAGCAAUCCUGGUGGCGAGUGGCGAACGGGUGAGUAAUAUAUCGGAACGU